AUAUAUUAAUCUAAUCUCAUAUAUUAAUCAUGAUUUAAUUUUUUAUUUUAAUCUUGAUUUGCAUGAGGAUAUAGCUUUUAACUAGACUACAUUUGUUGACUGAAAGGCAUGGACUGAAACCAAAAGGUAUGGAUAAUAGGGCUCAAGCCAUUUAGGAAUUUCAGUGCUUUAUGCCCAUUGUUUGACCAAGGAUUUGAGGGCUCAAGCCAUUCAGGUUAUUCUAUGUUACUUGAUGAUAAAACUUUAAAAAAAGGAUUGAACCAUUACUUGAUUACUCAACCUGAAAUGAAUUUUCUUCACUAUUUCAUGAGUAUGUGAUAGCUGCAUUUGGUAAACACAUGGCUACAUUUACCAAACCUGAAAUUGCACUGAUAUGUGAACUUGAUAUCUAUUAAUUCUAUUAGCAUUUUUGGAUGCUUGACUUUUUUAAAUUGUGAUUGCAUUUGGACUGAAAUUGAUUUAAAACUGCAUAGUUCUUUCAAAUUGCAUAAUUUUCUGUUCAUGUUAUUUUUGUUCAAGUAAAAAUUGACUAUUAUCCUAUUUGACUAUUUAAUUAUCUUUCCUUAUAUGUUCAUUUCUUAUAACAUGAAUUUUUAUGUUCUUUGAUUUGACUAUCUAAUUAUCGGUUCAAAUUAGUCAUUAGAUGUGUUUGAGUUGGCCUUGCAUUGAUAAUUUUUUAAGUUUAAUUUUAGUUGAUUUUACUCUCAACACUUUGAAAAUCUUACUAACAGUGUUGUUUGAAAAACCUUUGCAUAAUUUAGAUGCUUUAUAGUAGUUUGAUCCCAAAACUUACUACCUCACAACACAGUUACAAUAGCAAGUAACAGGGGAUUAUUGAUCUUUAUAUCAAUUUAAUGUCAGGAAGUACCUUAACCAUUCAAUCGAACUAUUGUGCAUUCUUCUCUAUAUGCAUUCACUUUGAGGUUAAUCUAAUUGGCUUAAAUAAAUUUGAGAGUCCCAAAUCAGUUCAUAUGGACUACUUUUACUUAAUGGUUUUGAGAUUCUGAUUUUUUUUUAUUACUAUUUUGUUACACUCCUAAACUGCUAAAAGAGGCUAAACUAUUGAAGAUUGUUUUUAUUUUCGAUAUGAAUUCAUGUUUGUUAAAUUUCAUGGAUUUAGGUUAUCCAUGAUUGUUAUGAUGUGUGGUAAGUGUCUGAUAUGGUUGAGUUUCAAAAUAAAUAUCCUUUAAAUCUUUAUCUUCUUAUUCAUACAUGACAUAUUUUUAUUGCAUUUUUUGUAUGAUAAACAUCAAAGCAUUUGGAACUAUUCAAAGGAAAUGCUUAUUAUUAAAUAAAUCUCAAUAAUUGAUGUAUACAAGUAGAUGGAUUGUUUCAUUUAUCUACUUAUUAAUUUGCAGAUUUUGAUAACAUGAAUUAUGAGAUGAUAUUUGGGCAGGAUCCCAGCAUCAACAAAUAUUUGGUCUGAUAUGAACUUCACAUCUAUGUAUAUCUAUUUGGUUUUGAGAAUUUCAGAAAUUGUCUUUUAUAGUUGUUUAUCUCUUUUCUUUCUCUACAAACUUCUCAUUUGAUUGUUUUGGAUCACCAAUGAUAUAAAAAAAAGUGCAAUUGUGUGGAUUUAUUGGAGUGUUUGUUAUCAUCAUGGAGGGUUAGAGAAGGUCGACAAUGAGUGACAGAGGUUGCAGGAUGGAGGUCGCAGCAACUGCACACAAUUGGUUUCAAGACAAUUUCACCAUUUUCUUUCUUCUUUUUCUUGCUGUUUUUUUCUCCUAAUUUUGUGUGUAUCAUUAUUUCUGAUUUGAUCUUCUUUUUUUUAUAGGGGUGUACGUUUCUUGCAAGACAACAAUUGGGGAAGAGAGUAACAAUCAUGAACUCUUGAAUGUUUUAGGCUUUGGACAAUUGUUGAAUAUAGUUUUAAUGUUGAAGAAUAGAUGCAGUUACAAUCACUGUUUUUUUGUUUUUGUAAUAUUUUUUAUAUUGUUAAGAGGUAGAGCAAAAAUUGAUCCACCAGGCUGUCUGUCCUAGGUAGCAUGUGAGAGCUGCUCCUUCUUUUGGCGUGUUAGUUAAGAUAGCAUUGAAGCCGAACCUAACGUGGCUGAUGCAGCUGUAGUUUUCCUUAGAUUAAAAGCUGCAUUACAAUGUUGCCACUGCCAUUUAUCCUAUCAUUUUAGAUUGAAUUUUGAAGUUCAUAAUUUAGUAGGUGUAUGUGGGAGUAUUGGCUCCAAAAUUUGGAUGGGAUCUAUCCCCACAUCAGCAGCUGACAUGGUCUACUGUAGUAUUAAGGCCAUUGGAGAACAAGAUAUUUAUUGGUGAAAAGCACUAAAGCAAUAGAAACGACCCCAUUGUCUACUAAUAUUACUAACGGCAAUGAAUGUUUAUUUGUUGUUUCAAUCUUUCUAUUGUAAUUAUUUGUAUUCUUCAAACUCAAAUUUAUUGUAAUUAUUAUUUUUACCUUAAACGUGUUUAGUCUGACUGUUACCUAAACUCUUCUCUAUUGUAAUAAAUAAUUAAUGAAGUGCAAACUUAUGUCGAAUAGUUUCUGGCCAAUAAUGUUUUUUUUUACUAACAUAUAUAUUGCACUGUUAUUAAACUAAAUAUUGCAAGUUUUUAUUAAACCAAAUUGAAUGUUCCCGUGCAACCCGUACCACAAGUUGGACCGGGUCUGAUUGGAUUCUUAUAAUUUUUAAUCCAAAUCAAAUCAAAUUGUGAGUAAUUUUAUUUUUGAAUCG
rnacentral:lncRNA from 1 species